UCCAGACUCCUACGGGAGGCAGCAGUGGGGGAUAUUGCACAAUGGGGGAAACCCUGAUGCAGCGACGCCGCGUGAGUGAAGAAGUAUUUCGGUAUGUAAAGCUCUAUCAGCAGGGAAGAAAAAAGACGGUACCUGACUAAGAAGCCCCGGCUAACUACGUGCCAGCAGCCGCGGUAAUACGUAGGGGGCAAGCGUUAUCCGGAUUUACUGGGUGUAAAGGGAGCGUAGACGGCAAUACAAGUCGGAAGUGAAAUACCCGGGCUCAACCUGGGAACUGCUUUGGAAACUGUAUGGCUGGAGUGCUGGAGAUGUAAGCGGAAUUCCUAGUGUAGCGGUGAAAUGCGUAGAUAUUAGGAGGAACACCAGUGGCGAAGGCGGCUUACUGGACAGUAACUGACGUUGAGGCUCGAAAGCGUGGGGAGCAAACAGGAUUAGAUACCCCAGUA
rnacentral:rRNA from 1 species